rnacentral:rRNA from 1 species
GGAGCUUGCUCCCUGAUGUUAGCGGCGGACGGGUGAGUAACACGUGGGUAACCUGCCUGUAAGACUGGGAUAACUCCGGGAAACCGGGGCUAAUACCGGAUGCUUGUUUGAACCGCAUGGUUCAAACAUAAAAGGUGGCUUCGGCUACCACUUACAGAUGGACCCGCGGCGCAUUAGCUAGUUGGUGAGGUAAUGGCUCACCAAGGCAACGAUGCGUAGCCGACCUGAGAGGGUGAUCGGCCACACUGGGACUGAGACACGGCCCAGACUCCUACGGGAGGCAGCAGUAGGGAAUCUUCCGCAAUGGACGAAAGUCUGACGGAGCAACGCCGCGUGAGUGAUGAAGGUUUUCGGAUCGUAAAGCUCUGUUGUUAGGGAAGAACAAGUACCGUUCGAAUAGGGCGGUACCUUGACGGUACCUAACCAGAAAGCCACGGCUAACUACGUGCCAGCAGCCGCGGUAAUACGUAGGUGGCAAGCGUUGUCCGGAAUUAUUGGGCGUAAAGGGCUCGCAGGCGGUUUCUUAAGUCUGAUGUGAAAGCCCCCGGCUCAACCGGGGAGGGUCAUUGGAAACUGGG